rnacentral:rRNA from 1 species
AAUGAACGCUGGCGGCGUGCCUAACACAUGCAAGUCGAACGAGAAAUUCCUGCUUCGGCGGGGAAAGUAAAGUGGCGCACGGGUGAGUAACGCGUGGGUAAUCUGCCCCUAAAUUUGGAAUAACUUCGCGAAAGCGUUGCUAAUACCGAAUGAUGUCCCAUUUACCAUGGUAAGUGGGAUGAAAGGUGACCUCUUCAUGAAAGUUGCCGUUUAGGGAUGAGCCCGCGUACCAUUAGCUAGUUGGUGGGGUAAUGGCCUACCAAGGCGACGAUGGUUAGCUGGUCUGAGAGGAUGAUCAGCCACACUGGAACUGAAACACGGUCCAGACUCCUACGGGUGGCUG